rnacentral:lncRNA from 1 species
GUCAGAGCUGGGCGGGGCAGCCGGGUCGUAGAGGCGGGCGCCAGUCGCGGUCGGUGGAGAGGGAUGAGGAUGUAGGAGGGACGGACGUGGCGGAAGCCGCGGGGACUGCGGGGGCGGAGUGCCUCUGGGGAGCCAGGGAGGCCUUUCCAGAGGCUCCUGGGGGAAGAAGAGGCGAAGCGAGAGUCCCCGGGGAAGCCCUACUCCACCCCCAGCCGGAGCCUGGGUUGUGCCUGCACGGACCAGAGCCCACAGUGCGAGUUGCUGUAGGCAACCAGCUAGGGUGGCCAACUUCUCCCGGUUGGCCCGAGAUGUUCUGGUUUUGGGACCACAGCGUCCCAGGCCUCCAGCCCACCACAGUGACCAUAUUGUGCGCCCCCUGCCCAUCUUCUCCCGCAGCUUCCCUAGAUUAGGCUUGGGAGGCAAGGGGAGGCCUCCUGACUUUUCUCACUGCCUUCGUUAAUAUAAAGAUGAAGGCACACUCCACAACUUCCUUCUGGCCAGGCCCAGACAUGUCUGUCCUUGUGAGAUAAAAGCUUCCAUGGGAGCCUUCCUUCCUAAUCAAGAUGCAAAUAGUACGGUAUUCCGAACAGACACUAAAAAUAGCUGUCAUCUCAAAGAAUCCAGUGCUUGUGUCACAGUAUGAGAAAGUAGAUGCUGGGGAACAGCGUUUAAUGAAUGAAGCAUUCCAGCCAGCCAGUGAUCUCUUUGGACCUUGCAUUCUCCAUCAGAUUGGAUCACCUCCCACCCUGAGGCCCCCCAAGACUUUGAACAGUUCUUCAGUCAUCCUUACAGAAAGAUACCCUCUCCAGACAAACGCAGUAUUUAUAUACGGUCCAUUGGAUCUCUAUGAAGCACCAGAAUUAUCAGUGAAGAAUAUAUUAAAUGGCUCACGGGCUACUGUAAAGCAUAUUUCUAUCGCUUGAGAGUAAAACUGCUAGAACCAGUUCCUGUUUCUACAACAAGGUGUUCCUUUAGAGUCAAUGAGAACACACAAAACCUACAAAUUCAUGCAGGGGACAUCCUGAAGUUCUUGAAAAAGAAGAAACCUGAAGAUGCCUUCUGUGUUGUGGGAAUAACAAUGAUUGAUCUUUACCCAAGAGACUUGUGGAAUUUUGUCUUUGGACAGGCCUCUUUGACAGAUGGUAUUCCGUUUUUGGCAUUGUUGUUAGAA